AGGGGAUCUUCCCAACCCAGGGAUCGAACCCGGGUCUCCUGCAUGGCAGGCAGAUUCUUUAUUGUCUGAGCCACAAGGGAAGACCUUCUUCCUUGGUCCAUGCAGUAAAGGGAUCUGACAUCUAGGUCUACCUACUGUAGUAGAUUCUAGAAACAGAUGAACAUGUUGGUAGAGAUGGCGGCCUUUUGUUUUGAUCUCUCUUCUCAAACACUAUCACACUGUGACUUCCGUACCUGCCUGUGCGCCUGUCGCAUGAAUACUGAGGCCUCCCUCUGGUUCAUCUCCACGGGUGCUGCUUCUCAUCCGACAUUCCCUGUCCCUCCCACUCCUGUUUACCUUCUGCUCCCACAGCUGAAUUUCUGAACACAAUUCACCACCAUGGAAACACUACUGACCAGAUUGGCAACAAUGAAAAACACUGAUCCAUACUUAUGAGGCUAUAUGGAAAUGGACGCCGUUUAUGAGGUGUAAUGGAUGCAGGCUUUCACAAGGCAACUGGGCGGUUUCUAUAAAAUAUGAAAUUCAUAUACCUUUCAACAGACUUAUUCUACUUGUAGAAAUCUACUUCUAGAAAUGUAUUUGAGCAAGUACUCAAGGCUAUCGUUCAAAGAUGUUCAGAGCAGAACCAUUUAGAGUAGUGAAAAAUUACAAAGAACCUUAAAGUACUUUAAUCAGGUUGUUGUAUUUUCUGAUAGUUCUACUUCCUAAUACUGUGCUGAAAUCUGCUCGCCAGCACUUCCUGGGUCAAAGGUUCCCCUCCCUAGGGCCUCACAAAGCAAGUCUAAGCUAGGGUCAUGUCAUUAAUCAUGAGGGUGUAGCCUAUAUACGCCAUGGGUUCUAUAAAUCAAAGUUGGGAUAGAUUAUCUGAACUUUCCGGAUUACCAGAAUUUCUGGAGGCUCGGUCCAUAGCACAAGAUCUCAAAACAAGUCAGCAAUGAUUACAACACAAUAUAAGUCUCAGAAAUAUAAAAACGUCUACAGCUAUCCAAUUAUUUACUUCGUCACUCUCAUCAGUGUUACUCAGGGAGUGAAUUGUUUACUACAUUGACUGCUUCCUUAUUCAUUAAGCAAAGAUCAUGCAGGUUUCUUAAGCUUUCUUGAAUGUAAACUUGAUAAUAUGCCUCAGCUGCUACCUUUUAUCUGCAGCAAUUGGCUGUCAACUCUGUUGAAAUCACACACACACGAACACACGCACACACAUUCAGAUCAAAACUGGGUGGAACUGCUGUGAAAUGUUCUCAUCCUACACUUAGAGAACAACUGGGGUAGAUUAUUAAAAAGAAUACUGGAAAAGUAGAAAACACUCAGAACCUUCUGGUUAAAAAUGGAGAUGUUCCCCUACAUGCAAGAACUGAAGACCUUCCCUUCAAGUUAGCAAUUAUUCUCAAAAAGAGGAAAAAUGGAAAGAACUUUUCUACUUCCUGACCUUACCUGGUAUAACCAUUGCUCUUGUUAUGAAUCAUGGAGCCAGUGUGCUGGCCAACGAUUGGAAAGGGGAGGGCUGUGCUCAUUUACCCAGAAUAGGUGAUUUGCCUUUAAAAAAUAUAUAUCUGUAGAAAAAGAGAUUUCCAUAAGAGGAUUUACAUAGGAGACUCUAGACAUUGGCAAGGGAUUUUUCUGAAGACCGCUUGUGAAGUGAAAGUCAUGAAGCUCAGUCAUGUCCGACUCUUUGUGACCCCAUGGACAAUACAGUUCAUGGAAUUCUCCAGACCAGAAUACUAGAGUGGGUAUUCUUUCCCCUCUGCAGGUGAUCAAACCCAGGUCUCCCACAUUGCAGGCAGAUUCUUUACUGGCUGAGCCACAAGGGAAGCCCAAGAUUACUGGAAUGGGUAGCCUAUCCCUUGUCCAGUGGAUCUUCCCAACCCAGGAAUCGAACUGGGGUCUCCUGCAUUGCACGUGGAUUCUUUACCAACCGAGCUAUCAGGGAAGCCCAAAGACCUCUUAGGUGCCCUUAUUCACUAUUGAGAAUACUGACAGGACAGAGUAAAGAGACAAAGUUGGUAAUUAAAUAGUUAAUCCCACUAGGGGACUAUAAAUCAAGAAAAAAGUAUGGGAGACCCUUGUAAGUUAAUGAUCACUCAAGAAAGCAGGUUUGCUUAACCACAAAACCAAGCAGGGCUGCUUAGCAACAAAACCACACAACACAAGCAUGAGACAUGCCCCCUGACAGUAAACCAUGGUGGCAUGAGACCUGCAUCUUGCCCAGUGAGCCCGGUAAGUUAAUGACCCCCUAGGACAUGCUCUCUGCACACAUAAAAAACAAUAAUUUAUGGAAAGGUAACAUUUCAAAGUGAAAGAUCCUCAAGGUACUAAGAUCUGAGAUAAUUUUUCCAUAGCGUCAUGACAAUCAUAGUUACGGUCAUAGUGUCUUGACCAUGUAGGGACAAAAAAGACUCCCCCACCUGACAUAGAGGAGGAGGUGACGAUGGAAGCAUGACAUCUGCUCAAGAAUGAGGAAGAAAGUGGUUUUCUCCUUUUCUGACUUCUCCUUUGAUUAUAAAACUGUAGCCCAUUAAGUUCUUGGGGUGGAGCACCUUUUGCCUGCCCACUUAUAAGCCUCACAAGCAUCCUGUUCUAAUAAAUUACUUCUUAUCUAUCACUUUGCCUCUCACUGAAUUCUUUCUGCACUGAGACGUGAAGGACUGGAACUCCUUGGAGUCCCUCAAAAUGCCAUAUAGCAUUUUCAAUAUAGUGUUUCUCAAAAUUAUGUUAUAAAUUAAGUCAAAAAAAUGUAAGUUAAGGACUUCUGUAACUGAGCAGGACCCUCUGGGGCCUUCCCAGGAUAGACCUCUCUGCCAUAUCCUCUGCUUCAGCUCCUCUCUAAAGUACCUAGAUAGCAGUAUCUGAUGCACAUUUCUUGAGUUGUUUUGCAGAUACGAAAACCCCCACCAGAUGAAAGAUGUUGACUCCUGAUGACCAUGAGCACAGAGCCCCCAGGCCUACUGAACCUAAGGAUUGAUGUUAACCCCGUGGCACCACCCUGGAGGCUGACAUGGUUUUGUUGCCGUAUUCCUCAGGCCCAGAAAGUUCCUGAUGCAUCGAAGGUGUUCAGAAAAUACUUGUAUCUGAGUAAAAGCUCUCCAAUCAGAUUCCAACUAGGCCCUGAGAGUUCCCAGAUGGGAGCUGUAGAAGAACUGGCAAGCAGGACUGGGAACACCCACCACUCCCAUCACUGCCACAAGGAGUCAAGAUGGAGAAGGACGUCCAGGAAAGAGAAAGGAUGUGAUUCUCUGAGAACCCGAGGACUAAGUCAGGCUCACCUUCCUUCUUCACCUCACCCAGGAGAGCACUGCCAAGGCCACCAACCUUAGGACAACUCCUCUUUGGCAGAAGAGGCUUUCGAUCACUAACUUGUGCUGCUUUCCCAGCUGCACGCGAACAAAUAGGUUUCAGACAUCUGAAUUGUUUUUUUAAACAGCUGGCCCCACCCAUUCAUUGGUACCAGGCGGGCCCUUGCAGAGGCUGAGUCCAGCCUUGAUGUGGCCGGGGUGUCCAGAAGGCUGGGCAACAGACUAUGCUGGGUGUACCCAAUUGCUGCCCAGCUGGGCCUGGUGGGGAGGCUUUGGGUGGUGUUGCCGGGCAACCUGGGUAAUUGGAGAGGCCACGGAUUGGGCUUCUGGGCCACAGAGACGAACAGCCUCCUUCAUCAUACUGCAGACCAUCAUUAUGCCUCAUUCCAGAGUCCUGCAGCAAUCUCUCUGUGGUUAUAGCCUGAAAGAGGGCUUUUUUAGCUACAGAAAUUAAGAACCAGCCUUUCCAAUUUAUGGGUUUGUGGUUGUGGUUGUUUUCUUUUCGCUACAUCUCCGAGAAUACACUUGAAAUAAAUAGGCAAAAGAUUUCAAAACAAAAUAGAAAGUACCUUCACAAAUCCCUUUUUCCAAAAGUGUUCCUUCUUCCUGAAGCAAAACACACUUGCCCUCAAUUGUGAGGGCACCUAAGGUAGGGAUGCUCUUCUUCCUGAGGUCUCUGCAUGCCUACUGUGUGUUAAAAGAUUCUUCUUUGGAAUCCCACAACUGUGGCUGUGGUUCAAGGUGGGGGGACCAAGACUCUGGUCAUGUACAAGACCUCUCAGUGGAAUAAUUUCUUUGUGUCUCUCCCAUUCAAAGACCAUCAUGGUACUGCCCUUUCCCAAUCCACAGAACCACUUUCACUGGUGGGGUUUUUAGUUUAUUUUUUGUUUUUGUUUCAUUCAGCCACGCCUCAAGGCUUGCAGAAUCUUAGUUGCCUGAACAGGGAUCGAACUUAGGCCCACAGCAGUAAAAGUACUGAGUCCUAACCACUGGACCACCAGGGAAUCCCCAUCACUUGUGGUAUUUCAAUGAAUCCUACUAGCUGACCUGUGAAGAAGACACCAUUUUUAUUCCCAUUUUACAGAUGAACAACUAAGGCAAAAAGAGGUACCUGUGACUGCACAUCAAAAGCAAAGCCAGAGCACUGUCCCAUUCUUCUGAGGCUAGAUCCUGAGCCACUCCACUAUUAGUAUACCCGCUGCCUCCCCACAGAGCUAUUUAAAUACUCUAUUAUAACAUUUUUGUUUUCUAUUAUAAUAAAUAAUAGUAAUAAUAAUACAUACUGUAAAGACCAAAGCUUUAUGUUGUAUCCCAUACUAUUCUUAACACAUUUUCCUUGUUGAUUGUGAUCAGACUUUCAGAGUUGCCUCAUGCACACUAGGAAAUAGAAUAUGGAAGAAGUCCCAAAGAUAGACACACUAUUUAACUAGGCUAAUGACCUAGCCCACCAGAGCACAGAGCUAAAGGAAAACUCCCAGAUGGUGCUAGUGGUAAAGAACCUGCCUGCCAAUGCAGGAGACGUAAGAGACACAAGUUUGAUCCCCAUGUUGGGAAGAUCCCCUGGAGGAGGAGGAAAUGGCAACCCACUCCAGUAUUCUUGCCUGGAGAAUGCCAUGGACAGAGAAGCCUGGCGGGCUACAGUUCAUGGGGUCACACAGAGUCAGACACCACUGAAGUGACUUAGCAUGCAGCACGCAAUGACCUAGCCCACCAGAGCACAGGGCUGAAAGAAAACUCCCAACCUCCUUAAUUCAAGGAGUUGGAUCUGUUUGAUAACAUUAUGAUACUAUUUCAGUCCCUUCAGUAAGAAGGCAGAAUCACUGCUCUUUUUAGGUAUUUGUAGGUAUUCUUCAAAAAGGCUUUCACUGCCUCAUCUUCAAUGUUUCUUAAAAAAUGGUCCAUUGAUGGUAAGCAACUGUGCUGCUUUGCAUGGGACUAGGGAUAAGUGAUUUAGGGUGCUAAAAUUAGGACAGUCCUGAGCACACCAAGGACAGCUGGUCACCCUGACAUUAACCACCUACAGAAUCAUCUGAAAAAGUCAAGUGGAGAUGGCUGGUUCUAAUCCCAGGGCAGUGGUUCUUAACCCUGGCUACACAUCAGAAUUGUCUGAGGAGAUUGUAAAGCAGUAUUAAUGUCUGAGCUCACCCCCGAUCAGUUGAACUAAGGCCUCUGGUGCUAGGGCCUGGGCAUUGGGAUUUUCUGAUGUGCAGCUAAGGUUGAAACCCCCUGCCCUAGAAAUUUGUAUUCUGGGCUGGGGUCUUGCCCAGGAAUCUGCCUGUCUUUGUAACAGCUCCCUGGGGGAUUCUCAUGUAUGCUAUGAUUGACAACCAAUGAAUUCUUACGUGAUGUGUGAAUUUAUUCGACAACAUACCCUGAAUGCCUUGUAUAUGCUAUACUCUGGAAACACACCAAAAAACAAAAACAAAACCACCUCCUAUUCCCCAGGCCCUCUUUAUUCCCCAGUGGAGAAUAAAGAUCUAUAAAUUGUUCCAACACAGUAUACAGUAGUCACCCCUUAUCCACAGCAAUACAUUCCAAGUCCCCAGGGAAUAUCUGAACCUGUGGGUAGCACCAAAUUUUAUCUAUACAAUGGUUUUUCCUAUACACACAUACCUAUGGUAAAGUUUAAUUUAUAAAUUAAACAUUAACAAAAAUAACUAAUAAUA